rnacentral:rRNA from 1 species
AGAGUUUGAUCAUGGCUCAGAUUGAACGCUGGCGGCAGGCCUAACACAUGCAAGUCGAGCGGUAGAGAGAAGCUUGCUUCUCUUGAGAGCGGCGGACGGGUGAGUAAUGCCUAGGAAUCUGCCUGGUAGUGGGGGAUAACGUUCGGAAACGGACGCUAAUACCGCAUACGUCCUACGGGAGAAAGCAGGGGACCUUCGGGCCUUGCGCUAUCAGAUGAGCCUAGGUCGGAUUAGCUAGUUGGUGGGGUAAUGGCUCACCAAGGCGACGAUCCGUAACUGGUCUGAGAGGAUGAUCAGUCACACUGGAACUGAGACACGGUCCAGACUCCUACGGGAGGCAGCAGUGGGGAAUAUUGGACAAUGGGCGAAAGCCUGAUCCAGCCAUGCCGCGUGUGUGAAGAAGGUCUUCGGAUUGUAAAGCACUUUAAGUUGGGAGGAAGGGCAGUAAAUUAAUACUUUGCUGUUUUGACGUUACCGACAGAAUAAGCACCGGCUAACUCUGUGCCAGCAGCCGCGGUAAUAC